rnacentral:tRNA from 1 species
GGGGGUGUAGCUCAGUGGUAGAGUGUUCGCUUCGCAUGCGAAAAGUCCCGGGUUCGAACCCCGGCACCUCCA